AGUGAACGCUGGCGGUAGGCCUAACACAUGCAAGUCGAACGGCAGCACAGUAAGAGCUUGCUCUUACGGGUGGCGAGUGGCGGACGGGUGAGGCCUACAUAGGAAUCUACUUUUUCGUGGGGGAUAACGUAGGGAAACUUACGCUAAUAACGCUUACGACCUACGGGUGAAAGCACGGGAUCUUAGGACCUUGCGCGAUUGAAUGAGCCGAUGUCGGAUUAGCUAGUUGGCGGGGUAAAGGCCCACCAAGGAUAUGAUCCGUAACUGGUCUGAGAGGGUGAACAGCCACACUGUAUCUGAGACUCGUUCCAGACUCCUACGGGGAGCAGCAGUGGAGAAUAUUGGAGGAUGGGCGCGUGCCUGAUCCUGGCAUAUCGCGUGGAUGAAGAAGGACUUCGGGUUGGAGAGCCCUUUUGUUGUGAAAGUAAAGCAGCGGUUUAAUACCCCGCGGUUCUGACGGUACCCGAAGAAUAAGCACCGGCUAACUUCGUG
rnacentral:rRNA from 1 species